rnacentral:rRNA from 1 species
UGGGGGAUAUUGCACAAUGGGCGAAAGCCUGAUGCAGCGACGCCGCGUGGGGGAUGAAGGCCUUCGGGUUGUAAACUUCUUUUGCUCUGAACAAGGCAUGCUAAUGGGUGUGUUGAGUGUAGGGGUUGAUUAGCGCCGGCUAACUACGUGCCAGCAGCCGCGGUAAUACGUAGGGCGCGAGCGUUGUCCGGAAUUAUUGGGCGUAAAGGGCUUGUAGGUGGCUGGUUGCGUCUGUCGUGAAAGCUCAUGGCUUAACUGUGGGUUUGCGGUGGGUACGGGCUGGCUUGAGUGCAGUAGGGGAGGCUGGAAUUCCUGGUGUAGCGGUGGAAUGUGCAGAUAUCAGGAGGAAUACCGGUGGCGAAGGCGGGUCUCUGGGCUGUUACUGACACUGAGGAGCGAAAGCAUGGGGAGCGAACAGG